GGUUAGCUCAGCUGGAUAGAGCGCUGGCCUCCGAAGCCAGAGGUCACAGGUUCGAUUCCUGUAUC
rnacentral:tRNA from 1 species